rnacentral:rRNA from 1 species
GAUGAACGCUGGCGGCGUGCCUAAUACAUGCAAGUCGAGCGAACAGACGAGGAGCUUGCUCCUCUGACGUUAGCGGCGGACGGGUGAGUAACACGUGGAUAACCUACCUAUAAGACUGGGAUAACUUCGGGAAACCGGAGCUAAUACCGGAUAAUAUAUUGAACCGCAUGGUUCAAUAGUGAAAGACGGUUUUGCUGUCACUUAUAGAUGGAUCCGCGCCGCAUUAGCUAGUUGGUAAGGUAACGGCUUACCAAGGCAACGAUGCGUAGCCGACCUGAGAGGGUGAUCGGCCACACUGGAACUGAGACACGGUCCAGACUCCUACGGGAGGCAGCAGUAGGGAACAUUCCGCAAUGGGCGAAAGACUGACGGAGCAACGCCGCGUGAGUGAUGAAGGUCUUCGGAUCGUAAAACUCUGUUAUUAGGGAAGAACAAAUGUGUAAGUAACUAUGCACGUCUUGACGGUACCUAAUCAGAAAGCCACGGCUAACUACGUG